GAUGAAGAACGUAGCGAAAUGCGAUGCUUGGUGUGAAUUGCAGAAUCCCGUGAACCAUCGAGUCUUUGAACGCAAGUUGCGCCCGAAGCCAUCAGGUUGAGGGCACGUCUGCCUGGGCGUCACAUAUCGUUGCCCAAUGCCUAUUGCAGUGCAAUAGGAAUUUCUAGGGCGAAUGAUGGCUUCCCGUGAGCGUUGUUGCCUCGCGGUUGGUUGAAAAUCGAGUCCUUGGUAGGGUGUGCCAUGGUAGAUGGUGGUCGAGUUAGAACGAUACCGAUCAUGUGCAUGCUCCCCAAAAUAUGGCCUCUAUGACCCACACGCGUCUUUUGACGCUCAUGACGAGACCUCAGGUCAGGCGGGGCUACCCGCUGAAUUUAAGCAUAUCAAUAAGCGGAGGA
rnacentral:misc_RNA from 1 species